CUGCCCGUGGGCGAACUGGUGAAGCCAUAUGGUCGAUAGGCCUAGGAUUGGGGGUUCGAAUCCCCCCGGGCAGUCAA
rnacentral:tRNA from 1 species